AGCUUUGUGCGGUGGCAGUAUUGUAGCCAAUGAGGUUUAUCUGAGGCACGAUUAUUGCUAAUUGAAAAAUGAAGGAUGCUUCCAAGUUUUUGGCUUCUGCGUCCAAAAUGAUGGCAUUGUUAUUUUCUGCAAUAGGAA
ensembl:snRNA U4 U4 spliceosomal RNA